rnacentral:rRNA from 1 species
AGUGAACGCUGGCGGUAGGCCUAACACAUGCAAGUCGAACGGCAGCACAGUAAGCGCUUGCUCUUACGGGUGGCGAGUGGCGGACGGGUGAGGAAUACAUCGGAAUCUACUUUUUCGUGGGGGAUAACGUAGGGAAACUUACGCUAAUACCGCAUACGACCUACGGGUGAAAGCAGGGGAUCUUCGGACCUUGCGCGACUGAAUUAGCCGAUGUCGGAUUAGCUAGUUGGCGGGGUAAAGGCCCACCAAGGCGACGAUCCGUAGCUGGUCUGAGAGGAUGAUCAGCCACACUGGAACUGAGACACGGUCCAGACUCCUACGGGAGGCAGCAGUGGGGAAUAUUGGACAAAGGGCGCAAGCCUGAUCCAGCCAUACCGCGUGAGUGAAGAAGGCCUUCGGAUUGUAAAGCCCUUUUGUUGGGAAAGAAAAGCAGCAGGUUAAUACCCCGCUGUUCUGACGGUACCCAAAGAAUAAGCACCGGCUAACUUCGUG